rnacentral:lncRNA from 1 species
UUUUCUAUGACGGUGAUCCAUCCCCUUCCCUGCCUGCGAUAGUGCUCCAUCCUCUUCCCUGCUAUCCGAGAUGGCGCUCCCUCCCAUGUGGAUCUCAGGACCACUCCUUCCCCUCACCGGCACCGGAUCUGCUGCAGGGUCGGCUCCCUCCCCUCGCCGACACUGAGGAAGACGGCGGCAAGGUCGGUUCCUUUCCCUCGCCAACGCUCCGCCCGUAGUCGGCGCUAUCGUCACUCUUUCUUUCCCACUGCGUUGAGAUAACUCAGUUGUCAGAACAGAGAAUGACAAGUGGGUCCCAAUUGCCAUUGUCUGUUAAAAUAGAUUUUGGGGGCUUAGGUUUGGGGGCUUCUGCUGCUGGGGAAGAUUGCAAAAUAGAGGGCCAUCCUCCACUGCUUGUGCGCUCCUGUCCGUCAGUGAUGGAUGGCGAGCCUCGGAGGCUGUAGCGCGACUGACAAAGACCGGAGACGCCGACGACUCACUCUUGCGCCGGCGACUUCGAAAGCGUUGCGUGCUUCCCUUACCUCUGCGGACGGGAUCACGGGAGAGAUUGUAGGCGAGCACCGGCGAGCGGAAGGGCGUGCGGCUCUCUCGCGCACGGUGGCGCUUGCGGUCGAGUCGACCAUUCGACCGAAGCCGGUUCAUGGCUCCGCGGACUUCAUUCCGUUCCGGUUUUGGUCGCAGCCCGGCGACGAUUUCACUGAUGAAGCUGCUGGCGAGGACACUGAAGAUCGGGAGGACACUGAAGACGAAGAGGACUCACCUUCAACAACUGAGUUCAUCCAGGCGGCGAAAACGGUGGGUUUCUCAGUCGAUCAACUCGCCAGAGCCGAAAGGGCCCUGAACGCAGGUAUGGCUCAGUCUCCCGAGGGAGUAACCUUGGCGAGAUCAAUCGUUCAAACUUUAGUGAAGAAGAAAACUUCAGGAAGGCCAUAGCAAGGCCCUCUUCCAUCCCCACGAGUUUCUCCACCGAGGACUCUAGGUGACGCCUUGGCCAUGGCAUCUUACCAGAGGAAGAAACCGAGCUCCAGCCGGGCACAGUCCCUCACGGCUACACCGGAGAGGUUUAGCUCAUCGGAGAAGGAUUGUCUUUCAAAAUUUGAACAUGUGGUCUCGCAGUGCCCUGAUCCGAAAUCCUCGGGCGUCCAUGCGUCAAUUCCGGUCGUUCAGAUCACGAACACCACGCGUGGAACGCCGAGUCGGGCGGGGAAGGGUUUACGUGCGUUUCCAACUCGUGUUGUCCUUGGGCCAGGGAAAGUUUUCAGGCCCACGCCGGGCCUGUGUUCUCUGUUCUCUAGAACGGGCACAAGGGUUUCUCGGUCCAGGUCGUUUUCUAAGACGAAGGCCAUCAGGACUUACGCCGAGGUCGUGCGAAUAGGCACAUCAAUGGCGGCGCAGGAGGGAGGCUUUGGAGGCCGUGGCGGUGGCCGAUCGACUGGGGGGUUCAACACUAGUUUUCACCCAGGAACCGGAGGUCAGGGGGGCGGCCGCGGGCGCUUCCCCUUCCGAGGCACUGGGCGUGGCAAUGGUGGACAUGGUGGUCCCAGAUUUGGCGGCUUCGGCGGCUUCCAGGGGUUUGGCCGCGGCGGAGGAAGAUACUACGAUGGGCGAGGCAGAAGCUUCGCUGGUCGUCAUCAGCUGCAUCGGCCAGGCCCUAACGCUGUUGUGUCCAACGUCUACAACGCUGGUCUUCCUCAGCAAGAAGGCUAGGUGGGGAGGCAAUCUGCAGGUGGCCAUGGUCACCACCAGGCGCCCCAUGCACACGUGCAUGGUGUUGGGCAAGGUGCUGUUUUCACUAUGCAGACGGUUGAUUCUACUACUUCCACUAUACCUCCGUCCAAGUCAGCACCGGGAAAUUCGGAAGUAAGUGAGCCGGCUACUGCUCUCCCAAUCCCCAGCACGAUUGCCUCUCAAAUUGAUGUUCCAGAGUCAUCCCAAAAAGGAGGCGUCCCAAAAACAAAGGGUAAACCUUAUUGCUAUCGUUGUCAUACUAAAGGGCACACGAUGUCUGUUUGCACUACUGUACUUAGCUGUGAGGUAUGCUUUGGUGAUCAUGUUAAAAAAGUUUGCCCAAAUUUGAAGAACUUGCAAUCAACUGCUUUACCAUGUGGUUAUGCGGUAGAAGGUCUGGGUUUCUACUUUAUACCUUUUGCUGAAAAUCCAAAAAUAACUUCAGAUGAUAAAUCUGCAGUGGUACGUGUUUUGGAGGGUUCUGUUACUGCGGACCAACUCGCAGUGGAACUCGACAAACUUCUGCCUGGAAAUAGUUGGGUAAUUGAGGAGAAAGGUAAUGAUGCCUUUACCACAAUUUUCCCUUCUUCUGAAGUGCUCAGUCACAUGGUGAAUUGGGGUCCAAUGGACACCAAGACGGUGAAAGGAAAGAUUCGAUUUGAGAAAGGAGCUGAAAACGAUGUGUAUAAAUAUGAGAUUGAUAAGGUCUGGGUGCAGUUCCGGGGCCUUCCUAGGUUACGAGAAUUUCCUAUUAUCUGGGCGAUUGGCUCAAUUCUUGGAGUGUCCCGGGCAGUUGAUACAAAGUUUACUAAAAAAACAUGGCCGAGCUAGGAUGAAAGUAGCUGUGUUAAACCCUGAUCUUAUUCCAGACUUUGUGGAUGUGGUUAUUGGGGAUUAUGUCUAUGAGCUACAGUUCCGAGUUGAGAAUAAUAUGCCAGAUGGUGAGCCCCAAGUCAUUGACAUGGACUCUAUCAUAGAUGGGGAUGAAGCCCCAAAAGAGAAAGAGCCUGAAAAUAUGGACCUCGAUGGUACCAAGAUAGAUGAAUCACCAGCUAACCAAGCACCAGAAAAUAAAACCAAUACCUCAGGAGUGCCGGGUGGACAGCACAAGAAGGUUGACACCGGUAUACUUGCUGAAAUGGAUAUGACUACUAGUGUUGCAGGAGUUGAUCAUCAAAAGAAAAUUUUGGUGGCCUCAGGUUCUAAUCCUGUGAGAGAGGAAAACUCAGUUAAGCCUGUGGUGUUGCUUACUCAGACUGGGAUGACUCAAAAUGGAACUACGCAUUGGAAGGGUAAAGCGUUGAGUGCUGGGACAGUGCCACCAGUGAGAGCUAGUAAGAGAAACGUGCCCACUUCGGACCAAGAUUCAUUGGAGAAGGCAACAAAAUUAAAGGCACGCAAGAAUAUGGAUUCUGCUUCACUCAAAGGUAAUGGAAUUCAGCCACAGUCUUUUAAUUUUGCAGAUGAUUCAUAUUUACUAGCUUCUACUGGUGCACUAGGAAUUUCAUUAGGGGUUAACGAACAAGAAAUUUCUGCUUCCCUGCUCUCGUUAAAAGACUUAGAAUCGCGUCGGCUAGCUGAGAACAUUGCUUUGGAAACUCAUAACAGAGCUUUAGAUGAUGCGUCAACAGUUUGCUCAGGGGAUGAAAAUUUAGAUUUAGAGUCUUUAAAUUUAAUUUGUGCCGACAUCGCUGAUGACCUAGGUGAUGGGGGUUGUGACCCUUCGUGUCUACAAACCCCUGUAUCACAAAUAAAGAAAUCUAGGUCCAAAAGGAACAAGAGUAAAAAAAAUCAUUCUAGAUGAAAGGAAUUUUUUGGAAUUGCAACGGUUUUGCGGACACUAAAAAAUAUAGAUUUCUUUCUGAUAUAACAAAGGAGAAGAACUUAGACUUCAUAGCUUUAUCGGAGACCGGAAGAGCCAGUUUUUCGCAGUCGACUCUAAAGAAUAUCUGUGCGGGUAGGGAUUUUCUUUGGCACUGCAUGGCUCCAAGGGGUCGGUCUGGUGGCAUGAUUCUAGGAAUAAACCUCCAAACAUUUGACAUUGGCCAAAUAGAAGAAGGAGAUUUUUUUUAUUCGAUUUAAACUACGACAUAAGGGGGAUGACUUCAAGUUUAAUUUAAUCUCAGUUUACGGUCCAGCCCAAGUGGAUCGCAAGUCCCAAUUCUUAUCUGAACUGGUCAGAGUAUGUUCAAAAGAAAACAUACCUAUAAUCAUAGGUGGGGAUUUUAACAUUAUUCGUCGACCGGAUGAGAAAAAUAAUGAUAAUUACAAUGAUAGAUGGCCUUUUCUCUUUAAUGCCAUAAUUGACACUUUGAAUCUCAGGGAGUUAGAACUGACCGGGAGAAAAUUUACUUGGGCUAACCACCAUCAAAAUCAGACCUUCGAGAAACUUGAUAGGAUUCUCGUGUGUACGGAUUUUGAGUCCAAGUAUCCGGUCAUGACUGUUCAGGUAUUAAGCAGAGAGAUUUCAGAUCAUACUCCCCUAUUUUAUAACACAAAUAACCCAUCUUCGACUUAUCAGCCUCAAUUCAAAUUUGAACUGGGGUGGUUGCUCAGGGAUGGUUUCUGUAAUAUGGUAAGAGAUAUUUGGCAAAGUGUUAUUACUGAGGGCACCCCUCUAGAGAGGUGGCAAGCGAAGAUCAGGAGACUUCGCCAAUACCUAAGAGGUUGGGCAAAGAAUUUAAGUGGCGCUUAUAAGAAAGAAAAAAGGUUUUAUUAAAUAAACUGGAUGAAUUAGAUAAAAAAGCAGAAAGUGUCUUGCUUGAUGAGGUAGAGUUAAAUCUUAAACAUGUGUUAAAUGAAAGGCUUGCUGAAUUACUACGCGAAGAGGAACUUAAAUGGUACCAUUGUACCAAAGAGCUAAGGUUAAACAUCUUUUGGAGGGUGAUGCGAACACAAAAUACUACCAUUUGUUGGCUAAUGGGAAACAUCGAAAAACCAGAAUUUUCCAGUUAGAGGACGAGGGGAAUAUAAUAGAGGGUGAUGCUCAGUUAAAACAACAUAUUACCAAUUAUUAUAAGAAUUUAUUUGGUCCCCCGGAGAACUCUAAUAUCCAGCUAAACGAGCACCAUGUUCAAGACAUUCCUCAAGUUUCUGAACUAGAAAAUGAUUAUCUCACAGAUACCUUUUCAGAAUCUGAAAUAAGGGCAGCAGUUUUUCAGAUGGAACAUAAUAAGGCACCAGGUCCGGAUGGUUUUCCAGCAGAGUUUUAUCAGGUCUUUUGGGAUUUAUUAAGGGAAGAUCUGAUGGCUUUGUUUUGGGAAUUUCAUGACGGUAAUUUACCCUUGAAUAGCCUCAACUUUGGAACAAUAAUUUUAUUACCGAAAGAUAAAGAGGCAAAAAUGAUUCAACAAUACAGACCAAUAUGUUUGUUGAACGUCUCGUUCAAAAUCUUUACUAAAGUUGCGACUAAUAGACUCUCUACUGUUGCCCAGAAGAUUAUUAGACCUACACAAACCGCCUUCCUCCCAGGAAGAAACAUUAUGGAGAGUGCAGUAAUCCUCCAUGAGACCAUUCAUGAACUUCACUCAAAAAAAACAGAACGGCUUAAUCCUUAAAAUAGAUUUUGAAAAGGCUUACAAUAAGGUGAAAUGGAGUUUUCUGCAACAAACCUUAAGAAUGAAAGGUUUCUCUAAUAAAUGGUGUUCUUGGGUACAACAAUUCACUCAAGGAGGAAAUGUAAAUAUUAAGGUGAAUGACCAACUAGGCUCUUACUUCCAAACAAAAAAAGGCUUAAGGCAAGGUGACCCAAUGUCUCCAAUACUAUUUAAUAUAGUGGUGGAUAUGUUGGCCAUACUGAUUGCUAGAGCAAAGGAAGCUGGCCAAAUAGAAGGCAUUAUUCCCCAUCUAGUUCAAGACGGUCUAUCUAUCCUUCAGUACGCGGAUGACACGGUGAUCAUUAUGGGGCAUGAUGAGGAGAAAGCGAUUAAUAUGAAAUUAAUCCUAACUACUUUUGAACAACUCUCAGGCCUCAAAAUUAAUUUCCAUAAAAGUGAAAUUUUCUGCUAUGGAAAAGCGAAGGAUCAUGAAGAGUUUUAUUCGCAAUUAUUUGGGUGUAAGGUGGGAAAGUGCCCCUUUCGUUACCUUGGCCUGCCCAUGCAUUCUAGGAGAUUGUCCAACAAAGAUUGGCAAACAAUUGAAGAUAGGAUACAAAAGAAGCUUAGCGGUUGGAAAGGAAAGAUGCUUUCAAUUGGGGGUCGCUUGGUCUUAAUAAACUCGGUGCUCACCAGCUUACCGAUGUUUAUGAUGUCAUUCUUUGAGCUUCCAAAAGGAGUCAGGGAGAAGCUUGACUGCUUUAGGUCACGUUUUUUCUGGCAAAGCGACCACCACAAACGUAAAUACAGACUAGCUAAAUGGAAAAUUUUAUGUCAACCAAAAAUCCAAGGGGGGCUGGGCAUACAUAAUUUGGAUGUACAAAACAAGUGCCUGUUGAGCAAAUGGCUCUUCAAACUCCUAAAUGAGGAUGGUUUGUGGCAAGAACUGCUAAGGAAUAAGUAUUUAAAAAACAAAACAUUAGGAAGUUGUACCAAAAAGUCAACAGACUCUCACUUCUGGAAAGGACUGAUGAAUGUUAAGGAUACCUUCAUGAGCUUUGGUUCAUUCAAAGUGAAAGACGGUUCACAAACCCGGUUUUGGAUGGAUACAUGGUUGGGGAACCAACCAUUGAAGGAUAAGUUCCCCUUGUUGUUCAACAUUGUGAGGAGAAAGCAAGACUCGGUGGCAAGAGUACUUGCAUCAGCUCCGCUAAAUAUUUCCUUUCGCCGUAAUCUUGUGGGCGCGAAUUUAAGGGAUUGGCAUAGGAUUGUAGCAUCGUUACUUGAUGUGAACUUACAAGGGGAGAGAGAUACUUUUGUUUGGGCACUACAUUCAUCAGGCAUUUUUUCUGUUAAAUCAAUGUAUGCGGCGUUAAUAAAUAAUGGGGUCAGGGUGUCACAAGAUAUUUGGCAGAUCAAAAUACCUACAAGAAUAAAAGUAUUUUUGUGGUAUUUAAAAAGAGGUGUUAUUUUAACCAAAGAUAAUCUUGCCAGACGUAAUUGGACUGGCGACACAAGAUGUGUGUUUUGUAAUUCUCCUGAAACUAUUCACCACCUCUUUUUCGAAUGUUCUUAUGCUAAAUUCUUAUGGCGUGCGGUACACCUGUUUUAUGGAAUUGCACCCCCCCUUAGUACAAAUGAUCUUUUUGUUAAUUGGUCUAAGAGGGGUAGUAAUACUUAUAAUUCCUUAUUAUUAACGGCAGCAACAACCCUAGUUUGGACAAUUUGGAUAACAAGAAAUGAAGUGGUUUUUGACAAAUGCAGACCAAAAACUUUUUUGCAGGUAUUAUUCAGGGGAACCCAUUGGCUUCAGCAGUGGGCAAGACUGCAGCGGCGUGAGAUACUAAAGGACCAGCUUCUGUUUGCUGGAUAGUUUUUGGAAACUUCAGCUCUGCAUCUCUUUAGAUCCAAUGGAUGGCUGUCAACUAGGUUUAUUGGUCUUUCAUAGUCAAACGCUUUCUUUCUUUUUUUGUUUUCUUUAAAUUGAGUUAUCUCAAAUGUGUCGGUCGUCCGACUGAACUUUGUAAUAAUUGGUCUGAUUCUACCUUAUGGUAGAUGAAGCCGGAUAUAAACUAUCCUUUAUCUAAAAAAACAAAAGUAGGGAGAACACCUAAAUCAGAUAUUGGGGGUUUGAUUUAGGUACUUCUACUGGAGUUGCUCUCUCCUCUUAAA